rnacentral:lncRNA from 1 species
AUAAAUUAAGAGGUAUAAAUAACAACUUUCAAAGCUUCUACAAUAACAAGAGAGAUUACAAAAGAUUAUAAGCUAUCAAGAAGAUCAACAAUUCUUUUAUCAACCUUUUGUGCUUCAAAUUUUCAUAUUUUUCUUACAAACACUUGUGAGCAACUCUUUUUAUUUGUAUUAGCUCAAGUGUUUUUAUUGUGUGAGUGCUUAAUUGAAAAACAUCCUAAUCUUGUAAGGAUUGUUUCUUUAUUUGCUUAUUUGUUUACUUUUUUGAGAGGGUUUAAGUCUUAAGAUUUGGGUAGAAAUCAUAAGGGAAUUGUAAGGUUAAACUUUGUCCUCAAAGGUUGAUCAAAUUAGUAAAUUUGGAAAAAUUCUUAAUUAUGGAAAACUAAGAUAGUGGAGUAGGCAAUUGAGUUGAACCACUCUAAAUUCUUGUGUUCAUUGUCCUAUCUUUUCAUUCUUGCUUCAAAAAAUUUUUAAAAGGCCAAUUCGCCUCCCCCCCUUGCCUUUUUCGAUUGAUUGUUCAAGCUAACAACAACUGAGCAGUUUACCAAAAUAAAAAUAAUUAAAGACUUAAUUAUAAAAUUUAAAAAUUAUAAAUAACAUUAACGUGAAAAUAUUAAAAAAUAAUCUUAUUAUGUAUCAUUAAAAAAUAGAUUAAAAAGACGGCCUAAACAAUGAUUUAUAAAAAAAAGGGUGGUAUAAACUUAAUACAGAUAGGGGAGUUGAUAUGCGAUUUGGAAGUGCAAUGGCGGGUGGGAUAGUAAGAUGUCACCAAGGCAACUGGGUAUUUGGGUAUGGCUGCAACAUAGGCGUUAACUCGAUCCUAGAGGCAGAACUUCGAUCAAUUGUUGAUGGGCUAGAAACAACUUGGGAGAAGAGGGUGUGUUAGCUGCUAAUUGAGUGUGAAGUAAGAUAGCAGUAGACCUAAUACUUUGGGCCAAAAUGGUGGGAUCGCUGAGAUUGGCAUUGGAAGUUUGCAACUGGAUGACGAGGGAUUGGCAAGUAGAGAUUCAACAUGUACCACGAACAGUGAAUAUGGUUGCUAAUGCCUAUACACAAGGCGAUAAGGUGUUGCCAAAUAGGUUUUUAUUUUUUCCCAUAACCGCCUUUGGUGGUGCAAGAUGUAAUGUUAAGGGAUAAGUGCUAAGUAACUAGUCUAUUGUUAUCGAUUGAGCAUUAUAGUUUAAAUUCCUUUAGUAACUUUAAAAAAAAAAGUUAUAUCCUUAAUACAAAAAAAAACGUGGGGUGAUUAAAAAAUACAAAAAAAAUGACAUUAGAAUUUUUUAACUUUCAUCAUAUAAAUACCAUUAUUAUAGAUUAUUAUUAAUUGCAAAUCUUAAUUAAUACUUUUAAAUUAUAAUUAAUGAUAUAUUAAAUAAUCAAAGUUAUCACUUGCUAAAAUUAUAGCUAACUACCUAAGUUUCCUUAUUUGUUACAAAACUUUAAUCCAAAAAAUAGUUGUAGUUCUGCUCUUGUAUAAAAAAAAUUCAAGUUCAAGAAGGGUUAUAUCGAGUUAAAUUACAAAGAUAGGUGGGUCGGGUUUGAGAUAAAUCCGUCCUACCCACCCUCAAAAUAUUUACAAAAAUGCCCCCAUGAUACAUAUAUUAAGUGUUUGCUUUCUAUAAAUAAAUAUAUAUAUAAAAAAUGAAUCAAUUAAGUUUUAAGUCUAUACCAUAGAAGUUAAGAGUUUGUUCUAGGUAGCAAGAUUUUGUCUGCUAAGUGGAAAGGGUUUGUUUUGUUAGGGUUUAUUUUUUUUGAAAUAGAGGUUAGGAAGUGGCGGGUAGGUUUGCAAAGAGUUCCUUUGCAGGUUUAUGCGAUCUGAUAAUACGAAUUCAAUGGAAAAACGAUCUAGCGGGGUUGAAGAUUGACGAUGGAGAGGAAGAGGCUUGACAACUUCCUAGUGAAUCUGAAUCUCAGAAAUUGUCUUAUUAGUUAUGUCUUGUGCGGUAUUUUUUAAUGGCCAACGUGGUUUAGUUCUCUGUAAUACGAAACACAAUGGAAAAUUUAUGACAUCCAUUGCGGAGGGAUACAAAUUUCAAAUCUAGGGGAAAAAAGCAUUUGUUCAAGUUCUUCCAUGAAGUUGAUGUGGAACGAGUUUUGAGCGGCACUCUAUGGACUUUUAACAAUCAUUUCUUAAUGCUUCAUCGGUUAAGAGAGGGGAGGAUCCAAAACUAGUUCCUUUGGCGUUUCUGGACUUUUAGGUUUAGGUGAAUGAUCUCCCACCAAUAUUUUUUAAAGAAUGUGGCAAAGCAGUUUGGAGACUUUAUUGGGAAAUUUUUGGAGUAUGACACUAAAUAAUUAAGCUAGGUUGUUAGGAUAUAUCUACAAAUUCGGGUUUAGUUAGAUGUGUCGAAACCUUUAAAGAGAAGGAAGAAGCUUAUGAUUUCUCAAUCCAAUUUUGUAUAUGCAACGUUCUGUUAUGAAAGACUGACAUUGUCCUGCUAUUUGUAUGGAUGCUUGGGUCAUAGGGACAAUUUCUAUCAAAUCAAAAUCAAUCAUGGCAUGAAGAAGAUAGAUUUUGGAUGGGAUAUGUUAUUGAGGGCACAAUUGACUACGGGAUGAUGAUAGUGGAGAACUUUUUGGCACAAAAAUCGGAAUGCAAAAUUCGAGUAAAAAUUGUAGCGAAAUGAUAAAAAUAGACUCAUGCUAGAAGAUAAACCCUAUCUUGGGCUUCAAUAUGGAAGGGAUGUCAAGUUAGGAUGACAAAUGGAAUAAGUUCUUCAAGUGGGUCAGGCCGAGUUGGUUAGACCUUUCCUUUCCCGCAUUUGUCGAUCGACUGAUUCAUUUCUUGAUUUAAAUAUAAUAGUUUAAUUCAAUUAACGAAUUUAAAAAUAUUAAAGCACUUAAAUUCACGCAAUUAACCUUUUAAUGACAUUUUACAUAUUUACGCUAAACUUUUACCUUUUAUUCAAUUUAAUCCUUAAAACCAAAAAUUUCACAAUUAUCACAAAUUAACUCAAAAAUCUUUGUGCCGAAUUCUAUAAAGUACUUAAACAGCCUAUAUUUACCACUUUACCACAAGAAUUUCAUGUUAUUGUACAAUUUUAACAACUUAGUCCCUAAAUUUUAAAAUUAACUAAAAUCGCUUUACAAAAUAGUUCUAUUUAACUAUCGAGCUUAAUAAUCUAUCAUCAAAGUUCAAGUACAUCACAAAUUCAUGCAUGACAUAAUUAUAAAUAUUUAAAAAUUUUACGAAUUAGUCUCCAAGUUUGCUAGAUUAAGCGAUCUUAAAAACAUAAAAAUCACUAAAAACGAACUCAAAAUGCAUGCCAUGCAAGAGACUUAAAGCUUGGCCAAAUGCUUAUCUACUAAACAAUGGAGUUUUGGUUAUCCCCCAAAGACAAAAGAGAAAGAUAAUGACUUUGUUCAUCUUUUGUUUAAAUUGUUUAUUAAUUUAAUUACCAUUUUAACCUUUUAAUUUUAACUAAAAUUUCAUAAUUUAGAACCUUUAAACCGUCGACUAUAAUAGACAAGGCAUAUUUACCUUUUAAAUCCCUCAAUUCAUGGUUCCAUAACCAUUCAAUACAAUUAAACUAAUAGCGAUUGACUUUUGUAACUUUUACAAUUUAAUCCUUUUUACUUAAUUAACUAUCUAAACGUUAAAUUUUCUAACCAAAUUUUAAUACAACACUAUAAUAACCCUGUAAAUAUUAAAUAAAUAAAAAUUACUGACUCACUGGUUAGAAUAGUGGUUCCAAAAUUAUUGUUUUUGACACCACUGAAAAACGGGCUGUUACACUUAUACCGAAAAUAACCCAUCCAAUAAACCUCAAGAAUUUUCAGUGAAUUAGUUUUUGCAUGGUUCUAUAUAAAGUAAUAUCAAUGCCUGUAGCAAAUCGCCUCCAAAAAGUUUUAAAGGUAUGUAUCAAUAAAGCCCAAAGUGAUUUCGUCCUGAGAAGAUUGAUUACUGAUAAUGUCCUUUUUGCCUAUGAACUCAUGCAUACUUUUAAGCAGAGAAGGAUGAGAGAGAAAGGAAGCUUGACAUUAAAACUUGAUAUGAGCAAGUUGUAUGAUAGGGUGAAAUGGGUUUUCCUAGAGCAGAUAAUACUAAAAAUAGGUUUUGCUAGCUCAUGUGUUGACUUUAUAAUGCAUUAUAUUAACUCAGUCUUUUACUCGAUAUGUCUAAACGGAGAGAUAGGGGAGAGGUUCAAACCAAAAUGGGGAUUACAUCAAAGGGAUCCGUUGAGCCCUUAUUUGUUUUUAAUAUGUAGCGAAAGUCUUUCUUCUCUUAUGUGAUUAGCUAUUUAGGAAGGAUUAAUAAAUGGGGCAAGGGUAAGCUGUAGAGGGCCUCCUAUUUCUCAUUUAUUGUUUGAUGACGAUUGUAUUUUGUUUGGUGAUGAGAUAAAAAGAGGAACACAUAAUUUAAAGAGUAUAUUGCAGGAGUAUGAAAUCUGCUUGAGUCAGUGCAUUAAUUUUGAAAAAUCAUUUGCUUAUUUUAGCUCAAAUGUAUCAGAGCAAACAAGGGAACUGAUGUCUUUUAUCCUCAAUGUCAGAAUUUUUAGGGACCCAAAAAGAUAUCUAGGUUUACCUAAUAUGGUGGGCAAGAACAAGCAAAAGGCUUUCCAAAUUCUAAAGGAUCGACUAAUGAGUAGGAUUAAUGCGUGGAAUAUAAAUCAUUUUUCACAACGGGAAAGGAAGUUUUUAUAAAAUAAGUACUACAAACAAUCCUGACGUAUCCAAUGACGUGUUUCCUAUUGUCUAAUUCGCUUUGUCUUGAAUUGGAGAGUAUCAUUGGAAAAUUUUGGUGGCAAAAGAGCCAUGGCAAGCAGGGUAUCCAUUGGUGUGAGUGGAGGAGAUUGUGUAAUUUGAAAGAGGAUGGAGGAUUAGGAAUUAGAUGACUAUCAAAAUUUAAUUUGGUGUUAUUAGCAAUGUUAAGGUUGGCAUCUAAUCUGUUAUCCAAAUUCUUUAUUGGCACGAUUGUUAAAAGCCAAAUAUUACAUAGAGUCAGAUUUCUUAAAUGCAAGAUUGAGCAAUUUACUUUCAUAUACCUGAAAGAGUAUGUGGGCGGCGAAAAGGCUACUAAAGAAGGGAUUAUUCUGGCGAAUCGGAUCAAGAAAUUAAGUCUUGGUUGGGAAGAUACGUGGGUGCCGAGAGCUAUGGAUUUCAAAAUCCAAACACGAGCAAAUGAUCAGCAUAUAUGUUAUGUAUCGUAUUUAAUUGAUCAAACUACAAAUUAUUGGAGGGAAGGAUUAAUUAAAACUACCUUUAAUGAAGAAGAAGCUGACAGGAUCUUAUGCAUUCGUUUACCAUGUCGACCACAGGAGGACAGGUUGGUAUGGCGAGGUGAGGUUUCUGGGGAAUACUCGAUAAGGAGUGGGUACAAAAUACUAAUACAAGAAAUACACCCGACUACUCUCAACAAUGAACAACAUGCUUACAACCCUUUUUAUAUUUUUAUAAAAGACUUUGGCUCUUGGAUCUGCCUUCUAAAAUAAAAAUUAUGAAUUGGAGGAUUUUUAACAGUUAUUUGCCUAAUCAAUACAAUCUAUACUAAAGGAGAUUGGUGGGAUCUGCGAACUGUCCCAAAUGUACAGGCAAAGCAGAAAAUGUUGAGCAUGCUUUUCGGGAUUGUUUAACUGUAAAAGAAAUUUGGGGAAAGUUAGGUAUAGACUGGCAACAGGAACUAAACAAGGGUCAGUUUAAAGAUUGGAUGGUAUACCUCUAUAACAGCGUCUCAAUACAAAAAUGUGAGUAAUAGCCUGUUCAUUUUUGGCCAUGUGGAUAGCUAGGAACAAAUACCUACAUGAGGGGAUACUACAAAAUGCAUCCGACAUAGCAUGUUUCAUCACGAGUUAAAUACAGGAAUUGGAGGAACUUAAAAAGAGGUUACCUGGUUGAAGAGUGUAGGGAGAGCGUUGGAGAUCGCCGAAGGAGUCGUAUGUGAAAAUCAACUUUGAUGCUGCUUUUCACAAACAAAGCAAAAGUUCAUGUUCGAGGAUAGUGGUCAGGGAUUCAAGUGGGAGGGCUCUGAAUUUUACCAUGCGCCUGAAUGAGCACAUACCAACUGGAUUUGUUGCAGAGGCAAUUGCGUGUGUCCAAGCGGUUCAGUUAGGGGUGGAUUUGGGAAUCGUGAAGGCUGAAAUUGAAGACAAUGCGUUGUCAGUAAUAAAGGAAUAC